rnacentral:lncRNA from 1 species
CUAGGCCCAUUAUUGUAUGUUGGGUUGAAAUAUACCCCAUGGCUGGGCCCAAGAUUGAAUGUUGGGUUGAAAGAAACCCCGAGGUUGGGCCCAUUAUGGUAUGAUGGGUUGGAAUAUACCCCAGGGCUAGGCCAAAUGAUAUGAAUGGUAUGUGUUUUUUUGGAGAACUCACUGAGCUUUGUGCUUACAGUUUAUGUUUGAAAUGUUUUUAGGUACUUCUGGUUUCAAAAGGAAAUGUCCGGCUUGAUUCCACUGCAUCCCCUGGAGAUUUAUUAUGCAUGUAAAGGCCUUGCAUUUCUAAGGAAUGGAUUUUAGACUCCAUUGGAUAUUUAUGGUGUUGGAUAAUUGAUUUAUAUCUUGGACUGUUCGUUGGAAAAUGAGGGGUAAAUGGGAAAGGUAUUGAUUUAGGCUUCUUGCAUAAAUUCAGGAUUUUAGUUCAAGAUGCUUUUAGUUAUAAGUAACUGGAUGGAGUUGAAACGAAGAAGUUAUGGUUGUUUGAAGUUAGCCAAAGGGAGUCUAGUAGUAUGUAAGGCAUACACAAGGGAGUACGCAUGGCGUACAUGCUGAGGGUAGGACAUGUUCUUAGUGUAGUACGUAAAGGUUAAUUUCGCUGUGUAAAAACCCUAAUUGUAGAGUUUUGAGCAAUAUUUAAGGUAUCUAACCCCUUGGGAGUGCUUCUUAUCAUUAACCUCCAACCUCUAGAACCUCUAACUCGAAACCCUACCAUCCUCUCUCUUGUUUUUAGCCUUUUCACCAUUUAUGAGCUUAUUUAUCCAUUAGAAGGUGGUAUCUUUAAGAACAAGGUGGUGGAAAAGUUUAUAGAAGACAAAUUCAAGUAUAGAUCCAACAAGAUUACAUCAUUUUUGGACCAUUGUGAAUAAAAAGCUUCAAACGUGCUCGUUAUUUUCAUACAUCAUGUUAAUUUUCAUAUUUGUCACUUUUUGGUCACUUUAUUGCAUAAAUUUUAGAGCUUGAAAGUUUGUGACCUUGUUAUAGAUAAAGUUGGAAUCUUUAUCCAUCAAAACAUCAUAAUGAUUCAGAUCUGAAGGUUGGAGACUUGGACUUAAUGGAUUAAGAUGAGAAUGAUGUGUUUUUGGUCCCUUUGAGGCUUAAAGACAAUAUAUUGGUUGUUUGGUCCAUCCUAAUGGAUAAUGUUGGAAACUUUAUCCAUUAUGGAGCAAUUAGGAACCUAAUUUGAGUAUUGGAUGGUUAGACUUUGUGUAUAAAGUGCUUAAUUUGAAGAUUGGAAAAAGAGGUAGUAUGGGGGCGUAAUUUGGGCUACGCACAACAUAGCCUAGUUCUCACUUGUUUUUUUGGCUAAGGCUCUAUUCCUAGCGUAGAUCUAAGAGUACACAGCGCAUAGGUCAAUAGAAGGUUGACUGUUAACUUUUUAACCAAUUGACAUUUGGUAAAUUGUCAUGGGUUUAAGACUUAGAAGGGGCAAAAUGGUCUUUUGCCUAAAUAAGGAUUACUCCUAUUAUUUUUGGACCUGUUAAGUUGGAAAAUUUCCAUAAUUGUUAAUCGGGGUUGUUUGAAUUAUGUCUAGAGUGAUGAGCUUUUGAUAGCUGCAACUCGAGUGUGUUUUAACCGACUUUCGAUUGAGGUGAGUCCUCUCACUAUACUUAGGGUCGAAUGCACCAAUACCAUCCCACUAGAUUGUGAUAUGUAGAAUGUUAGUUGUCUUUGUGACUCUUGCAUGUAUUAUUGGGUUGAAAUAUACCCCAAUUCUAGGCCCAUUAUUGUAUGUUGGGUUGAAAUAUACCCCAUGGCUGGGCCCAAGAUUGAAUGUUGGGUUGAAAGAAACCCCGAGGUUGNUUGAUAGCUGCAACUCGAGUAUGUUUUAACCGACUAUCGAUUGAGGUGAGUCCUCUCACUAUACUUAGGGUCGAAUGCACCAAUACCAGCCCACUAGAUUGUGAUAUGUAGAAUGUUAGUUGUCUUUGUGACUCUUGCAUGUAUGAUUGGGUUGAAAUAUGCCCCAAUUCUAGGCCCAUUAUUGUAUGUUGGGUUGAAAUAUACCCCAUGGCUGGGCCCAAGAUUGAAUGUUGGGUUGAAAGAAACCCCGAGGUUGGGCCCAUUAUGGUAUGAUGGGUUGGAAUAUACCCCAGGGCUAGGCCUAAUGAUAUGAAUGGUAUGUGUUUUUUUGGAGAACUCACUGAGCUUUGUGCUUACAGUUUAUGUUUGAAAUGUUUUUAGGUACUUUUGGUUUCAAAAGGAAAUGUCCGGCUUGAUUGCACUGCAUCCCCUGGAGAUUUAUUAUGCAUGUAAAGGCCUUGCAUUUCUAAGGAAUGGAUUUUAGACUCCAUUGGAUAUUUAUGGUGUUGGAUAAUUGAUUUAUAUCUUGGACUGUUCGUUGGAAAAUGAGGGGUAAAUGGGAAAGGUAUUGAUUUAGGCUUCUUGCAUAAAUUCAGGAUUUUAGUUCAAGAUGCUUUUAGUUAUAAGUAACUGGAUGGAGUUGAAACGAAGAAGUUAUGGUUGUUUGAAGUUAUCCAAAGGGAGUCUAGUAGUAUGUAAGGCAUACACAAGGGAGUACGCAUGACGUACCUGCUGAGGGUAGGACAUGUUUUUAGUGGAGUACGUAAAGGUUAAUUUCGCUGUGUAAAAACCCUAAUUGCAGAGUUUUGAGCAAUAUUUAAGGUAUCUAACCCCUUGGGAGUCCUUCCUAUCAUUAACCUCCACCCUCUAGAACCUCUAACUCGAAACCCUACCAUCCUCUCUCUUGUUUUUAGCCUUUUCACCAUUUAUGAGCUUAU